ncrna:unclassified sequences SAM-I/IV variant riboswitch
AUCCUGUAUCAAGAGCAGAGUUAAUUCUCUCUCCAACCUGCUAACUUCUAGCAAGGUGGAACAAAUGAUACGGCUAUUCACGCAACUAAAAGGAGAUCA